rnacentral:rRNA from 1 species
UACGGGGGGGGCAAGCGUUGUUCGGAAUUACUGGGCGUAAAGGGCGCGUAGGCGGUUUGUUAAGUUGGAUGUGAAAACUGUGGGCUCAACCUGCAGCCUGCAUCCAAUACUGACAGGCUAGAGUUCUGGAGGGGAUAGCGGAAUUCCUGGUGUAGCGGUGAAAUGCGUAGAUAUCAGGAGGAACACCGGCGGCGAAGGCGGCCAUCUGGACGAGGACUGACGCUGAGAUGCGAAAGCGUGGGGAGCAAACAGG